GAUGAACGCUGGCGGCGUGCCUAAUACAUGCAAGUCGAGCGAACGGACGAGAAGCUUGCUUUUCUGAUGUUAGCGGCGGACGGGUGAGUAACACGUGGAUAACCUACCUAUAAGACUGGGAUAACUUCGGGAAACCGGAGCUAAUACCGGAUAAUAUUUUGAACCGCAUGGUUCAAAAGUGAAAGACGGUCUUGCUGUCACUUAUAGAUGGAUCCGCGCUGCAUUAGCUAGUUGGUAAGGUAACGGCUUACCAAGGCAACGAUGCAUAGCCGACCUGAGAGGGUGAUCGGCCACACUGGAACUGAGACACGGUCCAGACUCCUGCGGGAGGCAGCAGUAGGGAAUCUUACGCAGUAGGCGAGAGCCUGACGGAGCAGCGCCGCGUGAGUGAUGAAGGUCUUCGGAUCGUAAAGCUCUGUUAUUAGGGAAGAACAGAUGUGUAAGUAACUGUGCACAUCUUGACGGUACCUAAUCAGAAAGCCACGGCUAACUACGUG
rnacentral:rRNA from 1 species